AAAGCGGACAACAAACGGCUGC
rnacentral:siRNA from 1 species